rnacentral:rRNA from 1 species
AGUGAACGCUGGCGGUAGGCCUAACACAUGCAAGUCGAACGGCAGCACAGUAAGAGCUUGCUCUUACGGGUGGCGAGUGGCGGACGGGUGAGGAAUACAUCGGAAUCUACUUUUUCGUGGGGGAUAACGUAGGGAAACUUACGCUAAUACCGCAUACGACCUACGGGUGAAAGCAGGGGAUCUUCGGACCUUGCGCGAUUGAAUGAGCCGAUGUCGGAUUAGCUAGUUGGCGGGGUAAAGGCCCACCAAGGCGACGAUCCGUAGCUGGUCUGAGAGGAUGAUCAGCCACACUGGAACUGAGACACGGUCCAGACUCCUACGGGAGGCAGCAGUGGGGAAUAGUGGACAAUGGGCGCAAGCCUGAUCCAGCCAUACCGCGUGGGUGAAGAAGGCCUUCGGGUUGUAAAGCCCUUUUGUUGGGAAAGAAAAGCAGCAGGUUAAUACCCCGCUGUUCUGACGGUACCCAAAGAAUAAGCACCGGCUAACCUCGUG